UUAUUUGAAGUUUCCUAUACAACGAUUGAGUUUGCAUUUGGUAAGGCUGAAACGAUUCAAGAGGUCGAAAAUCGUUUCAAUAAUUAUAUGAAUGUAAUUCAGAGAAAGUUAGCUGAAUCAAAUCAUGCUAUUGUUGGCUGUGGUAUCCAUCCCAACUGGGAUAAAAAUGAGAAUUGUCCAGUGGCUUAUCCACGCUAUCAGAUGUUGAUGGAUUAUUUGAAUUUGAGUAGAAAUAUUAUUAAAUCAGAUUUACAUCAUUUCCCUGAAUAUGGUACUUUUAUCUGUGGGAGCCAGGUUCAGCUGGAUAUUUCAAAAACCAACUACUUACGGGUGAUUAAUGCUUUUACUCAAAUUGAAGCGGCUAAGGCUUAUUUAUUUGCAAACUCUGAAUUUUCGGGUGCGGAUUGGGAUACGAAAAUUUCAAGGGAUAUUUUCUGGGAAGAAUCUAUGCAUGGUAUCUAUCCAGAGAAUGUUGGGGUCAAUGCUAGACUCCUUAAUGAUGAAGCUGAUUUUUUUGACUAUCUAAAUCAUUCUGCGAUUUUUACUGCGGAACGUGAUGGGCAGACCUAUUAUUUUUAUCCUAUUCAGGCUGGGGACUAUUUGGCUACGUCCGAAAUCCAAGCAUUUGCUCUGAAUGGGGAUGAGGUUAUUAUUUACCCCCAAGAGAAGGAUUUUGAAACUCAUCGUAGUUACCAGUACCAAGAUUUAACGACUCGAGGAACAGUUGAGUUUCGUAGUGUGUGUACACAGCCACUUGAUAGGACUUUUGCUUCUGCAGCUUUUCACUUGGGAUUAUUGGUUAAUUUAGACAAGUUAGAAGCUUACUUAGAAACAGCACCUUUCUUUAAAGUAUUUGGUUAUGAUUACAAGUCUUUAAGGAGACAAUUUUCUAAGAAAAAUCUUACAGAUGAGGAAGAAACUACGAUUAUUGAAUUUUCCAAAGACUUACUCCUACUAGCUGAGGAGGGACUAGUGGUGAGAAAUAAGGAAGAAAUGACCUAUUUACAGCCUUUGAGAGAAGAAUUGAGCCUAUAAUUUCUCUUAUAAAGGGAGAAUUUUCUGAAAAAUCAUGAUAUAAUGGACGAGACUAUAGAUAAAGGAUAGAGAGUAAUGACAUUAGUUUAUCAAUCAACGCGUGAUGCCAACAAUACAGUAACUGCCAGCCAAGCAAUUUUGCAAGGUUUGGCGACGGACGGCGGUUUGUUUACACCGGUUACUUAUCCAAAGGUAGAUUUGAACUUUGACAAAUUGAAAGAUGCUUCUUACCAGGAAGUUGCUAAGCUAGUUUUGUCAGCAUUUUUAGAUGACUUUACAGUUGAGGAGUUGGACUACUGUAUCAACAAUGCCUACGAUAGCAAAUUUGAUACUCCAGCUAUUGCACCAUUAGUGAAAUUAGAUGGGCAAUACAAUUUGGAACUUUUCCAUGGUUCAACGAUUGCCUUUAAGGAUAUGGCCUUGUCUAUUUUGCCAUACUUUAUGACGACUGCUGCUAAGAAACAUGGUUUGGAGAACAAGAUUGUUAUCUUGACAGCGACAUCUGGUGACACGGGGAAAGCUGCUAUGGCGGGGUUUGCGAAUGUGCCUGGUACUGAGAUUAUCGUCUUUUAUCCAAAGGAUGGUGUCAGCAAGAUUCAAGAGUUACAAAUGACCACUCAGACUGGCGACAAUACUCAUGUUAUUGCUAUUGAUGGUAACUUUGACGAUGCGCAAACAAAUGUGAAGCACAUGUUUAACGACGUGGCUCUUCGUGAAAAAUUGACUACCAACAAGUUGCAAUUUUCAUCAGCUAACUCUAUGAACAUUGGUCGUCUGGUGCCACAAAUUGUUUAUUAUGUUUAUGCUUACGCUCAAUUGGUUAAGACUGGUGAAAUUGUAGCUGGUGAAAAGGUUAACUUCACAGUACCAACAGGAAACUUUGGAAAUAUCUUGGCUGCCUUUUAUGCCAAACAAAUUGGUUUGCCAGUUGGUAAAUUAAUCUGUGCUUCAAAUGACAACAAUGUUUUGACAGACUUCUUUAAAACACGUGUCUAUGACAAAAAACGUGAGUUUAAGGUAACAACCAGCCCAUCUAUGGAUAUCUUGGUAUCUUCAAACUUGGAGCGCUUGAUUUUCCAUCUUUUGGGAAAUAAUGCUGAAAAGACAACUGAACUUAUGAAUGCCUUGAACACGCAAGGACAAUAUAAGUUGACAGACUUUGAUGCAGAGAUUUUGGACCUCUUUGCAGCUGAAUAUGCGACUGAGGAAGAAACGGCAGCAGAGAUCAAGCGUGUUUGUGAGUUAGAUUCUUAUAUCGAGGACCCUCAUACAGCUGUUGCUUCAGCAGUUUAUAAAAAAUACCAAUCGGCCACUGGAGAUGUAACUAAGACAGUGAUUGCUUCAACAGCUAGUCCAUACAAGUUCCCAGUAGUUGCAGUAGAAGCUGUAACUGGAAAAGCAGGUUUAACAGACUUUGAAGCCUUGGCUCAAUUACAUGAAAUCUCAGGCGUUGCAGUGCCACCAGCAGUUGAUGGGCUUGAAAUAGCUCCAAUUCGUCACAAGACAACAGUGGCAGCUGCUGACAUGCAAGCAGCGGUUGAGGCUUAUUUAGGACUUUAAGACAGAGGGAGCAAACUCGGUUGGGAAACCAACUGAGUUUCUUUUCAUCAGGAGGAGAGAUUGUUUAAGAAAAAUAAAGACAUUCUUAAUAUUGCAUUGCCAGCUAUGGGUGAAAACUUUUUGCAGAUGCUAAUGGGAAUGGUGGACAGUUAUUUGGUUGCUCAUUUAGGAUUGAUAGCUAUUUCAGGGGUUUCAGUAGCUGGUAAUAUUAUCACCAUUUAUCAGGCGAUUUUCAUCGCUCUGGGAGCUGCUAUUUNGAUCAGCCAAAGAGAGUAAUAGCCUCGUAUUUAAAAUAGUCUUUGUACCUAGCAGUAUCCUGAGUACGGCGGGACACGUGAAAUCCCGUCGGAAUCUGGGAGGACCAUCUCCCAACCCUAAAUACUCCCUAGUGACCGAUAGUGAACCAGUACCGUGAGGGAAAGGUGAAAAGCACCCCGGGAGGGGAGUGAAAUAGAACCUGAAACCGUGUGCCUACAACAAGUUCGAGCCCGUUAAUGGGUGAGAGCGUGCCUUUUGUAGAAUGAACCGGCGAGUUACGUUAUGAUGCGAGGUUAAGUUGAAGAGACGGAGCCGUAGGGAAACCGAGUCUGAAUAGGGCGCCUUAGUAUCAUGACGUAGACCCGAAACCAUGUGACCUACCCAUGAGCAGGUUGAAGGUGCGGUAAGACGCACUGGAGGACCGAACCAGGGCACGUUGAAAAGUGCUUGGAUGACUUGUGGGUAGCGGAGAAAUUCCAAACGAACUUGGAGAUAGCUGGUUCUCUCCGAAAUAGCUUUAGGGCUAGCGUCGACAUUAGAGAUUCUUGGAGGUAGAGCACUGUUUGGGUGAGGGGUCCAUCCCGGAUUACCAAUCUCAGAUAAACUCCGAAUGCCAAUGAAUUAUGGUCGGCAGUCAGACUGCGAGUGCUAAGAUCCGUAGUCGAAAGGGAAACAGCCCAGACCACCAGCUAAGGUCCCAAAAUAAUUGUUAAGUGGAAAAGGAUGUGGGGUUGCACAGACAACUAGGAUGUUAGCUUAGAAGCAGCUAUUCAUUCAAAGAGUGCGUAAUAGCUCACUAGUCGAGUGACCCUGCGCCGAAAAUGUACCGGGGCUAAAACAAUUUACCGAAGCUGUGGAUACCUUUAUAGGUAUGGUAGGAGAGCGUUCUAUGUGUGAUGAAGGUAUACCGUGAGGAGUGCUGGAACGCAUAGAAGUGAGAAUGCCGGUAUGAGUAGCGAAAGACAGGUGAGAAUCCUGUCCACCGUAAGACUAAGGUUUCCAGGGGAAGGCUCGUCCGCCCUGGGUUAGUCGGGACCUAAGGAGAGACCGAAAGGUGUAUCCGAUGGACAACAGGUUGAUAUUCCUGUACUAGAGUAUGUAGUGAUGGAGGGACGCAGUAGGCUAACUAAAGCAGACGAUUGGAAGAGUCUGUCUAAGCAGUGAGGUGUGAAUUGAGUCAAAUGCUUAAUUCUAUAACAUUGAGCUGUGAUGGGGAGCGAAGUUUAGUAGCGAAGUUAGUGACGUCACACUGCCAAGAAAAGCUUCUAGCGUUUAAACAUACUCUACCCGUACCGCAAACCGACACAGGUAGUCGAGGCGAGUAGCCUCAGGUGAGCGAGAGAACUCUCGUUAAGGAACUCGGCAAAAUGACCCCGUAACUUCGGGAGAAGGGGUGCUGACUUUAAGUCAGCCGCAGUGAAUAGGCCCAAGCAACUGUUUAUCAAAAACACAGCUCUCUGCUAAAUCGUAAGAUGAUGUAUAGGGGGUGACGCCUGCCCGGUGCUGGAAGGUUAAGAGGAGUGCUUAGCGUAAGCGAAGGUAUGAAUUGAAGCCCCAGUAAACGGCGGCCGUAACUAUAACGGUCCUAAGGUAGCGAAAUUCCUUGUCGGGUAAGUUCCGACCCGCACGAAAGGCGUAAUGAUUUGGGCACUGUCUCAACGAGAGACUCGGUGAAAUUUUAGUACCUGUGAAGAUGCAGGUUACCCGCGACAGGACGGAAAGACCCCAUGGAGCUUUACUGCAGUUUGAUAUUGAGUGUCUGUACCACAUGUACAGGAUAGGUAGGAGUCUAAGAGAUCGGGACGCCAGUUUCGAAGGAGACGCUGUUGGGAUACUACCCUUGUGUUAUGGCCACUCUAACCCAGAUAGGUGAUCCCUAUCGGAGACAGUGUCUGACGGGCAGUUUGACUGGGGCGGUCGCCUCCUAAAAGGUAACGGAGGCGCCCAAAGGUUCCCUCAGAAUGGUUGGAAAUCAUUCGCAGAGUGUAAAGGUAUAAGGGAGCUUGACUGCGAGAGCUACAACUCGAGCAGGGACGAAAGUCGGGCUUAGUGAUCCGGUGGUUCCGUAUGGAAGGGCCAUCGCUCAACGGAUAAAAGCUACCCUGGGGAUAACAGGCUUAUCUCCCCCAAGAGUUCACAUCGACGGGGAGGUUUGGCACCUCGAUGUCGGCUCGUCGCAUCCUGGGGCUGUAGUCGGUCCCAAGGGUUGGGCUGUUCGCCCAUUAAAGCGGCACGCGAGCUGGGUUCAGAACGUCGUGAGACAGUUCGGUCCCUAUCCGUCGCGGGCGUAGGAAAUUUGAGAGGAUCUGCUCCUAGUACGAGAGGACCAGAGUGGACUUACCGCUGGUGUACCAGUUGUCUUGCCAAAGGCAUCGCUGGGUAGCUAUGUAGGGAAGGGAUAAACGCUGAAAGCAUCUAAGUGUGAAACCCACCUCAAGAUGAGAUUUCCCAUGAUUAUAUAUCAGUAAGAGCCCUGAGAGAUGAUCAGGUAGAUAGGUUAGAAGUAGAAGUGUGGCGACACAUGUAGCGGACUAAUACUAAUAGCUCGAGGACUUAUCCAA
rnacentral:rRNA from 1 species